rnacentral:lncRNA from 1 species
AGGGAGGAUGUUGAAGAUUUGUUUGUUUUCAAUAUGGUUCGGUCGGUUGUGGUCCUAGGUUGCUUCGGACUGUUUGCUUAGAGAUAGGUUUGUGUGAUUGUAAUUCAAGCUAUAAGGCAAAUGAGUUCUAAAUGAUCACAAUUGUACCAUUGUAAAUCUUUUGGUGUUUUUCACCACAUAUAAACACGCAAUCGUGCCUGGUCAAGAUAGGUAACCAUGUUUCCUCCUUUCCUUCAAGCCUGCCAUUAGGGAGGGUACGGGAAAAUCCACUCUUGUUCACACCCAAUCCAUAUAAUUAUUAUCCACUCCUUACCCUUCCCAAUCCCACCCAUAUCCAAUGGAUAAUUAACUUUGUACUACAUAUAUAUACAAAUCCAAUUGAUUAAUUGUACCCUCCCCAUACCCUACACUCCCC